UUUUUUACUUUUUUUUU
rnacentral:sRNA from 1 species